GAUGAACGCUGGCGGCGUGCCUAACACAUGCAAGUCGAGCGAGAAAUUUAUGAACGAAACUUCGGUCUAGGGAUUAAAUGGAAAGCGGCGGACGGGUGAGUAACGCGUAGGCAACCUGCCCCUUACAGAGGGAUAGCCUCGGGAAACCGGGAUUAAAACCUCAUAACACAUCAUAAACACAUGUUUGAGAUGUCAAAGAUUUAUCGGUAAGGGAUAGGCCUGCGUCUGAUUAGCUAGUUGGUAGGGUAACGGCCUACCAAGGCAACGAUCAGUAGCCGACCUGAGAGGGUAAUCGGCCACAUUGGAACUGAGACACGGUCCAAACUCCUACGGGAGGCAGCAGUGGGGAAUAUUGCACAAUGGGCGAAAGCCUGAUGCAGCAGCGCCGCGUGAGCGAAGAAGGCCUUUGGGUCGUAAAGCUCUGUCGGAAGGGAAGAAACAAAUGACGGUACCUUCUGAGGAAGCCCCGGCUAACUACGUGCCAGCCGCCGCCGUAACAC
rnacentral:rRNA from 1 species